UUAAAAAGCUCGUAGUCGGAUUUUGGCUGAGAACGGUCGGUCCGCCGUUAGGUGUGCACUGACUGGUCUCAGCUUCCUGGUGAGGAGGUGUGCUUCAUCGCUACUUAGUCACCGUGGUUACUUUGAAAAAAUUAGAGUGUUCAAAGCGGGCUUACGCUUGAAUAUAUUAGCAUGGAAUAACACCAUAGGACUCCUGUCCUAUUUCGUUGGUCUCGGGACGGGAGUAAUGAUUAAGAGGAACGGUUGGGGGCAUUCGUAUUUCAUUGUCAGAGGUGAAAUUCUUGGAUUUAUGAAAGACGAACUUCUGCGAAAGCAUUUGCCAAGGAUGUUUUCAUUGAUCAAGAACGAAAGUUGGGGGCUCGAAGAUGAUUAGAUACCAUCCUAGUCUCAACCAUAAACGAUGCCGACUAGGGAUUGGCGGAUGUUAAUUGAUGACUUCGCCAGCACCUUAUGAGAAAUCAAAGUUUUUGGGUUCCGGGGGGAGUAUGGUCGCAAGGCUGAAACUUAAAGGAAUUGACGGAAGGGCACCACCAGGCGUGGAGCCUGCGGCUUAAUUUGACUCAACACGGGGAAACUUACCAGGUCCAGACAUAGUAAGGAUUGACAGAUUGAGAGCUCUUUCUUGAUUCUAUGGGUGUGGUGCAU
rnacentral:rRNA from 1 species